CCUGCCUGUUCAUAUAUUCUUGGUCUCCAGGGACAAGAUAUGCCAUCUGAACAGUUCUCCCCUCUUUUAAGCUGGGCAGGAGGCCUCUUUCAGUUCAUGAUCUUUGGGGAGUUCACUGAGUACCAGCUGCCUGCAGGCAUCACCCCUGGGCCCAUGGGUGUUCUAUUGGAGGCUGCAGCUGCCUGGCAUGGCAGAGCACGGAGUGUUCUUGUUGGAAGACAAAUGGAACUGGAUUCACCCAGUUUAUAUUUGGAAUGGAAACUGAUUGGGAAGUGACUUUAUGCUGGGGCAGAGACAGGAGAGAACAGAGGAAGAACCUGAAGAGGAUACAGGUUUCCCUCACUUUACGAAAGGAGAACGUGCCUUGAAACAGUUCCUAAGUGAAAAUGGCAUAACGUGAAUCAGCAGUCACCCUGGAGGACACAUCUUGCUAGUGGAGGCACAAAGUAAACUGAGAUAAAGCACAGAUGCUCACAGACACGGUUCAAAGCCAUGGCAGCUUGAUGCUGAGAUGCUGAGAGUGGUUCCCAGGAAGUGCUUGGUCACACGUCCCUCUCACUGCUUGGGGUGCACGCCGCUUCUACAAAGGCGCCUAGAAUUGAAGAGGCGUAAAGGAACCUGGAGUAAAUUGAACUUUUGAAAAGUGGAGCAUACCUCUGUCAUAUCCAUUAAGUUUUCCUUCGUGAGUUAAAAGGUGAUCGGUGACUCUAUCAUAUUCCUUAAAAGCUGUCACCUGGGCUAAAAUGACCAAGUGGAUGAAGAAGGGAAACAAACAAGGUGAAUUUGCCACUAUGAUUCUCACAGUUUCGUGGGCUCCUCACAUUUAAGUACAUACUAGGAGUUAGCAGGUGCAACCUGUUGCACCUUCAGACUAUCCCUAAAAGGCAGGUGGAGAGAAGGUUCAAGGAAAGGAAGAACCACAGACACUAAGUGUGAUGUCCCUGAUUUCCCUCAGAAGAAUGUUUUCUCCAUCUACAGUUGCUAUACAGCUGGUGUGUUCCUUGACCAUGUAAAUUUUGCUUUCUAAAAGGCAAAGAACUUAUUUUUAUGUUUGUUUUUCAUUGAUGGGGAUAUGUAACAUCACAGCCAUAAAAGAGAUGGUCCCCUGAAAUUCCAAACUAUCCAAAGAGUUCUGUGCUCCCAGUACCAUCUUUCCACAACUGUAAAAAGGGGUGAAAUAUAAAUUUUUCAGAAUCAGGGACCCCCACCAUAGACCUAAUGGCAUGAUAAUCUCAGAGGAGGGAGAGAGCAGGUAUUUAAUUUUUUUUUUUUUUUU
rnacentral:lncRNA from 1 species